rnacentral:tRNA from 1 species
UGGACCCAUAGUUUAAUGGAUAGAAUGCUAGGUUUCGGCCCUGGCGAUGGGGGUUCGAUUCCUCCUGGGUCCGU